ensembl:lncRNA
AUACAAUUCCCUCCGUAGUCUCCAUUUACCAUACCGAAACAUGCCGACUUUAUAACAAAUAAAGUGAGUUAAAGUAAAGCAACCCGGGAUUGGACAACUUUCUUCAAGAAUAUGCAACAGCUUCUUUCUCACUCAACUACUCAAUUCUCAUGUCACUAGUACCUCCUCUGCUGAAUUCUGACAUUCCCUGCUACGGUCCUUCCUUCAUACCUUCCUUCCGCAUAGACACCCCCUCCUGUUACUCGGGUCCAAUCAGGUGGCUGAUGAUCACUCAUCGCACCUGCCGACCUUUUCAUAUUCGGGUUUCAGAGAAACGUGUCCCAAUGUGGGCCACGUCUCCCUCGACGAGCGGAGGCGGGCCUAAGUGCCCCUCCCCCCCUGCCUUUAUUCAAACUCCAGAGUGACGGGGACCUGCGAAAGGCCCGCGACUACCCCAUUGCGGUAAGAGCGUAGACAUAGCCACUCCCGUCCCGAUUUCGGUUUUACCCCGUGUCCAGCAGUCGAUUCGCAACGUACCAGAGUCCGGCAAGCUGUACGCCCACCGACAAGCCCACACGAACACCUCGCCACCUAAGUGCCGAGGGCCGGGCAGCCAAGCCCGCAGGCGCAACGCCUCUGACGGAGUUCGGGGGGGGUUUCUCUCCUGCUACUGACCCCGUGCCAUCACCCAUCUUGUGAGCUGUUGAGGGAGAACAACCACAGGCUGCAGAGGGAAAAUGAUUCUCUCAAGGCAAAAAUAGCAACAUUGAAAUUGCUGCCAGACGUUUUGCAGAAGAUGGAGGAGUUUCUCCGCUCAGCACCAAGACCAACGACAACACCAGCACCAACAGCAGUUCCAGCACCAGCAACAGAAGACCCAUCACCAGCUCCAGGUCCAUCAUCAGCAUCAGCAACAGAGGCCCUGGGCCACUCUAUGCUGCAAAGUUGAAGUUCACCUACGUAACUAAUACGAACAUAAAAGCAUUUAUACGACAAAAGCUGAACAAUGCUGCCAAAUUUCAGAAACAAUAAAUU